AACUUGAGAGUUUGAUCAUGGCUCAGAACGUACGCUGGCGGCACGCCUAACACAUGCAAGUCGAACGAAGUAGCAAUACUUAGUGGCAGACGGGUGAGUAACAUGUAGGUAUCUGCCCUUUGGCCUGGAAUAACACGAGGAAACUUGUGCUAAUACCGGAUAAGUCUUUACGGAGAAAGCUUUAUGCACCAUUGGAUGAGCCUGCACUUGAUUAGUUUGUUGGUGGGGUAAUGGCCUACCAAGACUGUGAUCAAUAGCUGAUUUGAGAGGAUGAUCAGCCACAUUGGGACUGAGACACGGCCCAAACUCCUACGGGAGGCAGCAGUGGGGAAUCUUGCACAAUGGAGGAAACUCUGAUGCAGCGAUGCCGCGUGAGUGAAGAAGGCCUUUGGGUUGUAAAGCUCUUUCGUCGGGGAAGAAAAUGACUGUACCCGAAUAAGAAGGUCCGGCUAACUUCGUGCCAGCAGCCGCGGUAAUACGAAGGGACCUAGCGUAGUUCGGAAUUACUGGGCUUAAAGAGUUCGUAGGUGGUUGAAAAAGUUAGUGGUGAAAUCCCAGAGCUUAACUCUGGAACUGCCAUUAAAACUUUUCAGCUAGAGUAUGAUAGAGGAAAGCAGAAUUUCUAGUGUAGAGGUGAAAUUCGUAGAUAUUAGAAAGAAUACCAAUUGCGAAGGCAGCUUUCUGGAUCAUUACUGACACUGAGGAACGAAAGCAUGGGUAGCGAAGAGGAUUAGAUACCCUCGUAGUCCAUGCCGUAAACGAUGUGUGUUAGACGUUGGAAAUUUAUUUUCAGUGUCGCAGGGAAACCGAUAAACACACCGCCUGGGGAGUACGACCGCAAGGUUAAAACUCAAAUGAAUUGACGGGGACCCGCACAAGUAGUGGAGCAUGUGGUUUAAUUCGAAGAUACGCGCAGAACCUUACCAACACUUGACAUGUUCGUCGCGACUCUAAGAGAUUAGAGUUUUCGGUUCGGCCGGACGAAACACAGGUGCUGCAUGGCUGUCGUCAGCUCGUGUCGUGAGAUGUUGGGUUAAGUCCCGCAACGAGCGCAACCCUCACUUUUAGUUGCCAUCAUUAAGUUGGGCACUCUGAAAGAACUGCCAGUGAUAAGCUGGAGGAAGGUGGGGAUGACGUCAAGUCCUCAUGGCCCUUACGUGUUGGGCUACACACGUGCUACAAUGGUAUCUACAACAGGAAGCAAGACUGCGAAGUUAAGCAAAUCCCUAAAAGAUACCUCAGUUCGGAUUGCACUCUGCAACUCGAGUGCAUGAAGCUGGAAUUACUAGUAAUCGUGGAUCAGCGUGCCACGGUGAAUGCGUUCCCGGGUCUUGUACACACCGCCCGUCACACCAUGGGAGUUGGUUCUACCUUAAGGCAAGGUUUCAAACCCUUGACCACGGUAUAGUCAGCGACUGGGGUGAAGUCGUAACAAGGUAGCCGUAGGGGAACCUGCGGCUGGAUUACCUCCUUUCUAA
rnacentral:rRNA from 2 species